rnacentral:rRNA from 1 species
CGCUUGAGAGAACUCGGGUGAAGGAACUAGGCAAAAUGGUGCCGUAACUUCGGGAGAAGGCACGCUGACACGUAGGUGAAGUGAUUUACUCAUGGAGCUGAAGUCAGUCGAAGAUACCAGCUGGCUGCAACUGUUUAUUAAAAACACAGCACUGUGCAAACACGAAAGUGGACGUAUACGGUGUGACGCCUGCCCGGUGCCGGAAGGUUAAUUGAUGGGGUCAGCGCAAGCGAAGCUCCUGAUCGAAGCCCCGGUAAACGGCGGCCGUAACUAUAACGGUCCUAAGGUAGCGAAAUUCCUUGUCGGGUAAGUUCCGACCUGCACGAAUGGCGUAAUGAUGGCCAGGCUGUCUCCACCCGAGACUCAGUGAAAUUGAACUCGCUGUGAAGAUGCAGUGUACCCGCGGCAAGACGGAAAGACCCCGUGAACCUUUACUAUAGCUUGACACUGAACAUUGAGCCUUGAUGUGUAGGAUAGGUGGGAGGCUUUGAAGUGUGGACGCCAGUCUGCAUGGAGCCGACCUUGAAAUACCACCCUUUAAUGUUUGAUGUUCUAACGUGGACCCGUGAUCCGGGUUGCGGACAGUGUCUGGUGGGUAGUUUGACUGGGGCGGUCUCCUCCUAAAGAGUAACGGAGGAGCACGAAGGUUGGCUAAUCCUGGUCGGACAUCAGGAGGUUAGUGCAAUGGCAUAAGCCAGCUUGACUGCGAGCGUGACGGCGCGAGCAGGUGCGAAAGCAGGUCAUAGUGAUCCGGUGGUUCUGAAUGGAAGGGCCAUCGCUCAACGGAUAAAAGGUACUCCGGGGAUAACAGGCUGAUACCGCCCAAGAGUUCAUAUCGACGGCGGUGUUUGGCACCUCGAUGUCGGCUCAUCACAUCCUGGGGCUGAAGUAGGUCCCAAGGGUAUGGCUGUUCGCCAUUUAAAGUGGUACGCGAGCUGGGUUUAGAACGUCGUGAGACAGUUCGGUCCCUAUCUGCCGUGGGCGCUGGAGAACUGAGGGGGGCUGCUCCUAGUACGAGAGGACCGGAGUGGACGCAUCACUGGUGUUCGGGUUGUCAUGCCAAUGGCACUGCCCGGUAGCUAAAUGCGGAAGAGAUAAGUGCUGAAAGCAUCUAAGCACGAAACUUGCCCCGAGAUGAGUUCUCCCUGAGACUUUAGGUCUCCUGAAGGAACGUUGAAGACGACGACGUUGAUAGGCCGGGUGUGUAAGCGCAGCGAUGCGUUGAGCUAACCGGUACUAAUGAACCGUGAGGCUUAACCUUACA